rnacentral:misc_RNA from 1 species
ACCAGCCCACAAAAUGCUUCCAAUUUUCUUAUUAUUUUUGGCAAAAGAUACAUCUACCGGCCCUCCACAAAGAAGCACCAGAACAACUGGUUUCCUUGCAGCUUGUGCAACACUAGUUAUGAGCUUUUGCUGCUUCCCUGGUAGUACCAAGUUAAUGCGAUCAGUUUCUUCCCUUUCCUGUUCUUGAUCAAGUCCCAUAACUAACACAACUUGGUCUGCUCCUUGUGCUAUUUUAACUGCUUGGCGAACUUGAGCCAAAGGACAAGCAACUUUGUUGCAACCUUUGUGAUACUUGGUGUUCUUAAUGUAAUCCUUCAAUCCUUGCAAUGGUGUAAUGGCUCUACAUGGUGGACCUGCAUAAUUUCCAAGAAGUAUUGUUGCAUUAUCAGCAUUAGGGCCAAUAACUGCAAGAGAUUUGGUUUUUGAUUUUGAAAGAGGCAGCUGAUCAGAGUUCUUCAGCAAAACGAUGCCAUCUCUAGCUGCUUCAAGGGCUAUAGCUUGAUGCUUUUGGGAACAAACUUGGUUUGCACAAAUAUUGCCAUAAGGAAGUUUGGCUGGAUCGCCAUUGAAUAAUCCAAGCCUCAUCCUUAUGGAGAAGAGGUUGUGAAGGGCUCUG